AACGAACGCUGGCGGCAGGCUUAACACAUGCAAGUCGAGCGCCCCGCAAGGGGAGCGGCAGACGGGUGAGUAACGCGUGGGAAUCUACCCAUCUCUACGGAAUAACGCAUGGAAACGUGUGCUAAUACCGUAUACGUCCUUCGGGAGAAAGAUUUAUCGGAGAUGGAUGAGCCCGCGUUGGACUAGCUAGUUGGUGGGGUAAAGGCCUACCAAGGCGACGAUCCAUAGCUGGUCUGAGAGGAUGAUCCGCCACACUGGGGCUGAGACACGGCCCAGAGUCCUACGGGAGGCAGCAGUGGGGAAUAUUGGACAAUGGGCGCAAGCCUGAUCCAGCCAUGCCGCGUGAGUGAUGAAGGCCCUAGGGUUGUAAAGCUCUUUCACCGGUGAAGAUAAUGACGGUAACCGGAGAAGAAGCCCCGGCUAACUUCGUGCCAGCCGCCGCGGUAACAC
rnacentral:rRNA from 1 species